GAUGAACGCUGGCGGCGUGCCUAAUACAUGCAAGUCGAGCGAACAGACGAGGAGCUUGCUCCUCUGACGUUAGCGGCGGACGGGUGAGUGACACGUGGAUAACCUACCUAUAAGACUGGGAUAACUUCGGGAAACCGGAGCUAAUACCGGAUAACAUGUUGAACCGCAUGGUUCAACAGUGAAAGACGGUCUUGCUGUCACUUAUAGAUGGAUCCGCGCCGCAUUAGCUAGUCGGGAAGGUAACGGCUUACCAAGGCAACGAUGCGUACCCGACCUGAGAGGGUGGACGCCCACACUGGAAGUGAGACAGGGUCCAGACUCCGAGGGGAGGCAGCAGUAGGGAAUCUUCCGCAAGGGGCGAAAGCCGGACGGAGCAACGCCGCGUGAGUGAAGAAGGUCUUCGGAUCGUAAAACUCUGUUAUUAGGGAAGAACAAAUGUGUAAGUAACUAUGCACGUCUUGACGGUACCUAAUCAGAAAGCCACGGCUAACUACGUG
rnacentral:rRNA from 1 species